rnacentral:rRNA from 1 species
GACGAACGCUGGCGGCGUGCUUAACACAUGCAAGUCGAACGGAAAGGCCCCUUUGGGGGUACUCGAGUGGCGAACGGGUGAGUAACACGUGAGUAACCUGCCCUUGACUUCGGGAUAACUUCAGGAAACUGGGGCUAAUACCGGAUAGGAAUCCUUGCUGCAUGGUGGGGGUUGGAAAGCUUCGGCGGUUUUGGAUGGACUCGCGGCUUAUCAGCUUGUUGGUGGGGUAGUGGCUUACCAAGGCUUUGACGGGUGGCCGGCCUGAGAGGGCGACCGGCCACAUUGGGACUUGGAGUCGGCCCAGACCCCCACGGGGGGCAGCAGUGGGGAAUAUUGCACCAUGGGCGGGAGCCUGAUGCAGCAACGCCGCGUGCGGGAUGACGGCCUUCGGGUUGGAAACCGCUUUCAGCAGGGGCGAAGCUUGUGGUGACGGUACCUGCAGAAGAAGCACCGGCUAACUACGUG